UUGCUUCAACAGCACAUAUACAAAAAUUGGAACGAUACAGAGAAGAUAAGCAUGGCCCCUGGGCAAGGAUGACAUGCAAAUUCGUGAAGCAGUUCAUAUUUUA
ensembl:snRNA U6 U6 spliceosomal RNA